UUUUUUCUUUUUUUUCUUUUUUCAGUUAUGAUUAGUGGAACUGGGAAAAUUUAAGCAAACCAAUCAGAGAAUUCUUCAAACUAUUAAAUAAAUGCUCACGUCUCUUUCUUAUUGCAGACUUCUUUUUUUAAUUAUUGCACUCUUUUUUUUCCUUGUUUAAUGUCAUUCUAGGCAUCAGGAAUAAUGUCAUCCACUGUUAUCUAUCACAUGAAUGACAACUCAAAUCGAAAUGUCUUAUAUAAUAUUCCAAUUGAUUGUGCAAUGGAAUUGUUUCUUCUAGUCAACUGCGUACAUUGUGGUUCCCUGGAUCAUCCUUAUUUAGCAUUUUUCAUACAUGCUCAUGGCCAACUCGUGGCAUACACAUGCACGUUCGGUAAGCUAGCGGCAUUGGUGCUGAGAGAUGCUGAUGUACCAAAAUCUCAAUAUGCAACUCAGUUGCAUACCCAAGGGUCAAGUACCUGAAUUUCAUUGGUCGAUGGAAAUUAUGUUCCAUAUCAUUCUGUAAUUCUUGAUAUAUUGUGCUGCAG
rnacentral:misc_RNA from 1 species